UUUAAAAUUAAAAAUCAUAUGUAUUUUUCUCACCCAAAAGAUAUGAUUAGAUUCAUAAAAAGAGCCCAUAGGCCCAAAAUUAUAUGCAGAAGGCUUGAAGCCUCAGAUUGUAUCAACAAGGGUUUUAAAGCCCAAAACAUAAAUAACUCAUUAAAUCAUGGAACCCUAAGACCGGAUCCUUUGACUAAGAACUCUAACCUGGAAGCAAGAGAUCGGACAUCUCAGCACCGCACUCCUUCCCUGCAAAGCCGGUACUAUCUCCAACAGCAAAAAACGGCCAGUCUCUCAAACAAUAUCCUAGACCAUACAAACCAAUUGAAGAACAAACAAGAGGGACCUUAGUCGGCAGCCAACAACCAAAACCAAAGCACAAGAGAAUGACGAUAAACACAGAAGGCACAUGCAAUGCUAAAAUCAAGUUGAGCGGAGCAUAUUGGACACCACCAAAAGAGAAGAAAGAGCUUCUGCAAUCAAGUCCAAUCUUCACUAUGGCUCCAGCCAAAACCAAGAGAACCCGAUACUAAAGAUUCAAAAAGAGAGAGGGAGAUGAGAGACCACCAUUUCUCAUCGGUAGAAGAAACUUUCACAUCGUAGUGUCAAGGCCUCAACCUUAUAUGCAACAAAAGAUCUAGAGGGGAUAAUGGAAGGCGGUUACAAAGACAGAGGGAGAACCUCAGUCGGACCACCUCACCAUCAUCCUUAGAAAACCAAGAAAAAAGAAAAGAAAACAUGGCAACCCAAAGAAACAACCUCUCAUGAGCGCUGCUGCCACCGAAAAAAACAAACAAUAUACUAUUUACAUCUCCACCCAGCGGAGGAGAGAUAAACCCAUGCCAGGUAGAGAGAGAUCUCCCUCUUCUUAGAGGGACGGAGAGAAACCUCCAAAACAAGGCGAGAAACUGGCAUAACCCGGACUAGACGAGGUUUAUA
rnacentral:lncRNA from 1 species